UCUCGGCAGGCCUACAUGGGCCCUCCCGGCAGCGGCCAGAGCAGCAAGAUCGCCAACCAGAUGGCCGUCGCCGGCGCGGUGGUCGGCCUCGGCGAAUCUCUGCGCGGCAGUUCCUAGGCACGAUCUCCAAGGGCGCGACGGGGUCGCGCAGCCGCGACUUCGUGUUAGAGGCGCCGUGCGGUACAUCAUCAAGAACCUCGGCAUGGCGCCGGAGAUCGGGGACAGCCAAGAGGAGGUCAGUGUGCGCCGUGAGGAGCAGCUCCGAUGGAGCCCGGCCGCCUCCAUGUGCUCCAUGUGGGAAUUUCUUUCCACCCCCUUUCUAUUUCAACCCAUAUCCAUGGAGAAGUCACAGGAAUCCCAAUCCCCUCAAGAAAUCUAAUCCUCCAAACUGAAUUUAAGGUGCUGUGGCCGAUUGAAGGCACCAAUGUCACAUCUGCUGGUAUGUACGAGAUGCAUUUGCUUUUAGUAAACCAACACAAUUAUCUCCUUUUAGCAUUGCCCUUCAACAUCUCUAGAGGGGUUGGUAGUGCAGGUCUGAAAUUACUAUUUGCAAAUACCACUGAUUUUUGCAGUAUCUACAUCUAUCCCAAUUGGCUUCUUAUUAUUCUUUCUGUCUGUCAUCUUCUCUGUUUCACUUUCAGCUGGCAACGAAGAUGACGCUGAGGUGUUGUUUCUGGUUCAUUAGAUUUCUUCAUCCGUGUAGUUUUAUAUUGUACAUCCUAGCUAGGCACAAGUACUCCAAAAGGAAACAUUUUAUUCCUUGUGUAAUGAAAGUGAUUUAGAGGAGAAAAAUGCCAGGGAUGCAUUCUCACAGAAAGCACUGAAUCAGCAGAAGUUGCAUGGUAGAAACUGAAACUCUCAACUACACGGUGAAGCCAAUAAGGGAAUCCAGCUCAAGAGCGACGCACAGAAAUCUGAGAAAAGAGGCAAGAACCGAUUUUGUGUGUUCUUAGCUCACAUGCAAGAGAUUGUGCUCCUGGAAAGCCACCUUGAUGAUCGACGCGCUGGAUGAAGCAUUGGGUCAUAAUCCUGCUCCAGAUACUCUAUAGAAAGAGAGCCACUCCUCAAGGAAACUAUUUCAGCAAGCUCCUACAUUGCUAUCUUCACCCGGUGCUGCUGCUUUUUCUUGCGCGCGUUAUGUGGCAGCUACUCUCUCUUUUGUGUAUGUGCUGCACCAUAUAGCUGCAGAUGGUGUCCCCUCCCUCUAGCACAUGUGUUGUUGUUUGUUCCUCUCUCACACACAUGGCAGGUGUUGCUGCUCCUCUCUCCCUGAUGUACAUAAAUUUGUGCAUGCAAAACUGUUCGAUCAUAUGUCUAUGAAGCCUAAAAAAGUUCACCUGGGGCUUCUAUUGCAGUUUAUCAAUGGUGAUCCUGUUUAUGCUGUUCUUUUGCUUGGUUCUCUGAUUUAUAAAUACUUUUUGUUUCCAUCUUUCUCCAUUUAGUUUGACACGAACUCUAAAAAAAAUUGAUCUUCUCGGUUGAUUAUUGGUAGGAAGGGUUUGAAGGAAAACAAUGGAUAUGUAAUGUUUAGGUCUUUUAUAGCGCAUUCUCCACUUUUAUGUUGUUUGCAAAAGUGAUAAUAAGAACUCAUUAAUGAUUGACUUUGCCUUCUCUUUUUUACAAUACUUGCAACUGCUGUUUGGGGCUUUGGGGAGUUGGUGGAGAUAGCUGCAUACUUGGAUUUUGAUAGCUGGAGAUUAAAUAUUUUCUUAUUUACUCUAAUGUUCAGGUGAAAUUUAAUGUGUGUAGUUUUUUUUUGUUCAUGCCAGCGUUUUUCACGCCGUAGCACCUUGGACAGAAAAGUAGUUGUUAUUUUUGGUUCCCUGGAGAUCUUAUGUUUCUUGUGUAAAUUGAAUUAAUUCGAUUGAAUUUCCACCAUAUUAUUUUGUUGUCAUGAUAACGACAAUGUUUGCUAGACAACUUUCUGGAUGUUUAUAGACACAUGACAAAUUUAUAGGGUGAAGUUCUGCAAUUAUAGGAAUUUCUAGCAGAGAGAUUCAUGAGCCGUGCGGCAUUUAUCUUGGUGCUUAUGUACUGAUGUUUGAAGUUUACUUAUGGUAUUGGAAAGAGAAAUACAAUACUGCAUUUUUCAAGGGAAUGAUCAUAUAGGUAUCUAUAGCAAUGAAUUAAGGGAAUCUGUUUUUGUAUUUUAUUCAUCAGAAGUGGGAGUCAGUUAUGAUGAUAACAUAAAUCAAUUCGCUAUUCCUUCUCUAGGAAUUUGAGAAGCUUUCUACAUAUUGGUGGUGAAAUCCAGGCUGCUAGAUUUCAUCAGGGACAUGGAAUAGCUCCCAAAGGAAGUCGCCGGAAUAGAGGAGAUUUAAUUUUGAGGUAUAGGCUCUGUUGAUUUAAUUCAAACUUUGCACACAGACUUGAAAUCUUGCUUGCUACCAUUUUUGACAGUGCCCGCAUCAAGCCAAAGACAUAUUAGUCUUCACCAUUUCGUUUGAGAGAACAAAGUUCUUACCAUAUCAAGCUAUGCUCUGUUCAUAUGGUAUCCAUGCCCCUGAAGAACUAGAUCUUGCUUUGCAGCAGAUUCCCAUCGUCGGGCAUGCCAGAAGAAUGAAGCUUCAAUUUAUUCAUACUGGUUCAUUAUUUAGGUCGUGCAGAUCCAUUGUUAGGACACCACACGCUUGACCAACUUAUCUGAAUUGCUUCCCGCCUCUACCAUGUUUAGUAUCACCAAUGUAACACUGUAUUUCAAUUCAGUUAUACGCGUCUGUACUAUGUUUAGUAUCACCAAUGUAUCAUCGUAUUUCAAUCCAAUUCUACGUGUGUAUGGUGCUGCACCCAAUGGAUAUGCUCAUUUGUGAUGAAAAUACAUGGAUUAUAUGUCCUGUUGCGUCUA